rnacentral:lncRNA from 1 species
ACCUCAAGUUAUCUGCCUGCCUCGGCCUCCCAAACUGUUGGAAUUACAGGCGUGAACCACCAUGCCUGGCCAGCUCUAUUUCUUUAAGCCUACAUGUUUUGCACUUGUUAAAAGUAUUUGAACAUACAAUUACUCAGCUUCCCUUGUUUACGCGUGAAUUUUGUAGAAUCUUAAAUAUUUUUUCCAAUCUAAGCUUUAUUUUAUCCCGUUUCUUCUAUAUUUGUAUAACUUUAGGCGGCUAUCUUCAUUGAAAGUUUUUUCUCAAAAGCCUUAAGAUAGAACGUAGUUCUUGGCAGCAAUUUGAAAGUUAUUUGAGGAGAAGGGGAGACUUACAAUGAUGAUUCAAAUGAAGGAAACUAAAAAGUAAUGAAGCAAGGCAGAGGAAAAAGCAGUACUCACUUGAGCACAUCCCAAAAGAAAAACAUUUCAAAUGUAACUAGAAAAAAAUAUGCUGAAGUUCGCAAUACAGAAAUAAUUAUUAAUAAGAUAGCUUUAAAGCCCUGCUCAGCUUUUGAAUGUUGGGAAUUGACCCAGAGGUGGCUGUAACCUAAGAUGGUUCCUUCAGUAAUGACCAUUUUUUCUUUUUCAAGAUGAUGAUUAUUCCCCACCUUCUAAGAGACAAAGACCAACGAGCCACCACAGCCACCAGUCCCAGAACCCGCCAAUGCUGGGGAACGGAAAAUGAGGGAGUUCAACUCUGGCCCUCACAAUCCAGUGGAGGAGACGAAACUCAUCUGCCUCUGUCCCUCUGGGCACGCCUCAUGCCAGGUGCAUCUGUGGACAGGGGCCAUGCUCCUGGGCUUCCAAAGUUGGAGAAAGCUGCCAGGCUCAGAGCCACCUAAGCUGAAGAUUCCCUUGAGAACAAGUACUGUCCCUAGUUUCCCAGUGCUGGAAUAUAGAAAAUGGAUGGACAAGUAAAUCCCACUCAGCACCCAUAGUCCAGGCAUGGGGACCUCAACACACCUGAGCCCCAGACAUCACCUUUCAUUCUGGACCUACCAUGAAAGACUUCUGAAUCCAGGAAGAGAAACUGACUGGGCAACAUGUUAUUCAAAAACAGGACCUUGCCCUGUCACUAGGAUGGAGUUCAGUGGUCCUAUCAUGGCUCAUUAUAGCCUCAAACUCCCAGGCUCAAGCAAUCCUACCAUGUCAGCCUUCCCAGUAGCUGGGACUACAGGAAGUGAGCUCACAAUGACUCAAGCUGCCACAUACUGUUGAUUGUGAAAUGCCAGUUGAAGCAUAUGUCCUGCGAGCUUAGGGGUGCUACAAGUUGACCACUGCAGCAGUAAAGAUGACUCUGAAGAAUGGCGUGGGAUGGUUCCUUUCAAAUGCACUUGAGCAGCGGUCUCCAACCACAGGGCCACAGAGCUGGAGCUGGAUCUACCAUGAAAGACUUGUGAAUCCAGGAAGAGAGACUGACUGGGCAACAUGUUAUUCAGGUGGGAACAUCCAGUUGCAGGAAAACAAGCUUAACACGCCCCCUGAUUCUACAUUAUGCUCCUACCUCCCGGCAGCCUCUCCAGGCCCAGAACUUUCUCCAGUCAGCCUCUACAGACCAAGCUCAUGACUCACAAUGGCCUAUUUAGGCCCAUACCCUACGUCACGGCAGCCUCCGCAGAUGAGCCUACUGCCUCACAGCAGCCUCCACAGGCACAGCUCCAUCGUUACAAUGGCCUCUUUAGACCCAGCUCCUGCCUCCCAGCCUUCUCUCCAGGCUCUGAACUUUCUCAGUAAGUUCAGGUAGCUGGGACUGUAGGGUCUCCCUCUGUUGUCCAAGGCUGGAGUGUAGUAGUGC